GGCGUAGGCACAAGCUUCUCUAACUUCUCUCUAUCUCCCCAAACCAGAUUAAAGCCCUAAUUUCUCACUUUCGCCCAAUUCGGAGCUGGAGGCCGACGGGCCGGAGAGGCCAGCUCCGGCCGGCGCACCCGCGCCAAGGCUUUCGUCUCAUCCACCCCGACGUCUCUAUGGUACGGGUUUGUCCGAUCGUUGAUCGAGGAGAGAGAAUCAAAAUCUAAAGCUUCGGGGUUUUGCUACGAAGUUUCGAUGCCUUUUCCAACAACUCCUGCGAUCAUCGGCAAUGCAUAAGGGAUUUUUUCGGCGGCUAUUCAGGAGGUUUUGGGCUUGUAUAUGACGUUUUGGAGAGUGACAAGAUGCCUGGUCGGGUUCAAAUCAUUUAGUUGACUGAAAUGAGGAAUUUGGGUAUGUUCAGCCUCCGUCGGACCACCCUUUGUGGUGACGGAACAGAAUGAGGGGAGUAUCCCUUCGUUUUGUGAAUUGAAGGUGUACUAAGAAUCUUGAAUUAUGAAUUAAAUGGCUAGUUGUGAUUAUUGAUUAGGGUUGUUGCUCGAUCUUUUCGUGGUCGACGGCGAGGUCACGGAGCUUCUUGGAGAGGCGGAGGGUGUGGGGGAAGAACUUGGAGAUGGCGUGGAGGUUGGAGAACUGGAGAGUGAGGGCAUUGAUAGAGUGGAGGAGAGUUGGGAGAGGAGGUUGGGGUGGCGGAUGGUGUGCUGGAGCUUCUCGGCGGUGGAGGCUUUCAUCUGAAAUGAGAGAGAGAGAGAGAGAGAGA